GUGGGGAAUAUUGCACAAUGGGCGCAAGCCUGAUGCAGCAACGCCGCGUGAGGGACGACGGCCUUCGGGUUGUAAACCUCUUUUAGCAGGGAAGAAGCGAAAGUGACGGUACCUGCAGAAAAAGCACCGGCUAACUACGUGCCAGCAGCCGCGGUAAUACGUAGGGUGCAAGCGUUGUCCGGAAUUAUUGGGCGUAAAGAGCUCGUAGGCGGUUUGUCGCGUCUGCUGUGAAAACCCGAGGCUCAACCUCGGGCCUGCAGUGGGUACGGGCAGACUAGAGUGCGGUAGGGGAGAUUGGAAUUCCUGGUGUAGCGGUGGAAUGCGCAGAUAUCAGGAGGAACACCAAAGGCGAAGGCAGAUCUCUGGGCCGUAACUGACGCUGAGGAGCGAAAGCGUGGGGAGCGAACAGGAUUAGAUACCCUUGUAGUCC
rnacentral:rRNA from 1 species